UUGUUAAUUACUUUAAUUAUUAUUGUUGUUGUUUGCAAAGUGUAUUUUUGGAAUGUUAACCUCUUUUCAUACCUGCAUACUUGAACUUGUCUUUUGUGUGAGGGCCUUAAAAUUCAUAAUAGGAACCUAGGGCAGUGAAAGGGAGGGAGAGAAGGAAUCAAUGCCAAAAGAUGGUUUGCAAAUUUAAACUCCUUGAAUGAACAUAUCAUAACAUGUUGCUGAGGCCCAGGAUGUCUGUUAAGAAUGUUUCUAGGCAACCUUAAUUUGCAUGCCAGUGUAUUUUCUUAAUUACACAAU
rnacentral:lncRNA from 1 species